rnacentral:rRNA from 1 species
GAUGAACGCUGGCGGCGUGCCUAAUACAUGCAAGUCGAACACGCAGCGAAAGGUGCUUGCACCUUUCAAGCGAGUGGCGAACGGGUGAGUAACACGUGGAUAACCUGCCUCAAGGCUGGGGAUAACAUUUGGAAACAGAUGCUAAUACCGAAUAAAACUUAGUAUCGCAUGAUACAAAGUUAAAAGGCGCUACGGCGUCACCGAGAGAUGGAUCCGCGGUGCAUUAGUUAGUUGGUGGGGUAAAGGCUUACCAAGACGAUGAUGCAUAGCCGAGUUGAGAGACUGAUCGGCCACAUUGGGACUGAGACACGGCCCAAACUCCUACGGGAGGCUGCAGUAGGGAAUCUUCCACAAUGGGCGCAAGCCUGAUGGAGCAACGCCGCGUGUGUGAUGAAGGCUUUCGGGUCGUAAAGCACUGUUGUAUGGGAAGAAAUGCUAAAAUAGGGAAUGAUUUUAGUUUGACGGUACCAUACCAGAAAGGGACGGCUAAAUACGUGCCAGCAGCCGCAGUAA